AUUGAACGCUGGCGGCAUGCCUUACACAUGCAAGUCGAACGGCAGCACGGGAGCAAUCCUGGUGGCGAGUGGCGAACGGGUGAGUAAUAUAUCGGAACGUGCCCGGUCGUGGGGAUAACGUAGCGAAAGCUACGCUAAUACCGCAUACGAUCUACGGAUGAAAGCGGGGGAUCGCAAGACCUCGCGCGAUUGGAGCGGCCGAUAUCAGAUUAGGUAGUUGGUGAGGUAAAGGCUCACCAAGCCGACGAUCUGUAGCUGGUCUGAGAGGACGACCAGCCACACUGGGACUGAGACACGGCCCAGACUCCUACGGGAGGCAGCAGUGGGGAAUUUUGGACAAUGGGCGCAAGCCUGAUCCAGCAAUGCCGCGUGCAGGAUGAAGGCCUCGGUUGGUAACGUAGCUUUUGUUACGGUAAC
rnacentral:rRNA from 1 species